rnacentral:lncRNA from 1 species
GAUAAGUAGUGGAUAAUUAAGUGGGGAUAAAAAUCAAGAUGAGUAUUACAUAAGUUUGAAACUUAUCAUUUUUGUCUAUCCAAAUUAGGUUUAAAUUAAGUUGUAGCAAUCCUAAAAUUAUGUUAAAAAAAAAAAAAGAAAACUUAAGAUGAGGUCCAAUAAGAUUAAACCUAAGACCUCUUAGUUGCUUUUAAAGUAGCACAUAAACC